rnacentral:tRNA from 1 species
GGGGCCUUAGCUCAGUUGGUAGAGCGCCUGCUUUGCAAGCAGGAUGUCAGGAGUUCGAAUCUCCUAGGCUCCACAC